rnacentral:rRNA from 1 species
UACGUAGGGUGCGAGCGUUGUCCGGAAUUAUUGGGCGUAAAGAGCUUGUAGGCGGUCUGUCGCGUCUGCUGUGAAAAUCCGGGGCUCAACCCCGGACUUGCAGUGGGUACGGGCAGACUAGAGUGUGGUAGGGGAGGCUGGAAUUCCUGGUGUAGCGGUGAAAUGCGCAGAUAUCAGGAGGAACACCGAUGGCGAAGGCAGGUCUCUGGGCCACUACUGACGCUGAGAAGCGAAAGCAUGGGGAGCGAACAGG